ACACGCAUGACACACUGCAUAUCAAUAAGCGGAGGAAAAGAAACUAACUAGGAUUCCCUAGUAACGGCGAGUGAAGCGGGAAGAGCUCAAAUUUGAAAUCUUAAAGGGUUCUACCUUGACGAAUUGUAGUUUAAAGAAGUGUUUUCUGUUGGAGUUUCGGUAAAAGUUCUUUGGAAUAGGACAUCAUAGAGGGUGAGAAUCCCGUAUUUGACCAUUACUUUCCAACUUUGUGAUACACUUUCAAAGAGUCGGAUUGUUUGGGAAUGCAGUCCAAAAUGGGUGGUAAAUUUCAUCUAAAGCUAAAUAUUGGCGAGAGACCGAUAGCGAACAAGUACCGUGAGGGAAAGAUGAAAAGAACUUUGAAAAGAGAGUUAAACAGUACGUGAAAUUGUCAAAAGGGAAGCGUUUGACACCAGUGUUGUUUAGUUGAAAAUCAAUUCAAUAAUUUUUGAUUUUAAGUAGUAUUGACUUCAUCAGCUUGCUGCUUUCUUUUCCGAAAUUAUUGAAUGCACUUUUCAGUUAACAAGUCAACAUCAAUUUCUUUUGUUGUAAAAGGGUAAGAGGAAGGUGGCUUACGCUUCGGCGUAAGUGUUUAUAGCCUUUUACCUCUGCAAUCGGAGAGAUUGAGGACAGCAGCGUAGACUCCUUCGGGGGUUAGAUACACUUGUGCUAAGCUAUAGCCUUGUAUAGACAACUUGUUGACUAUGCUCAGUCAUGUAGCUUACUCGCUUGUGCUAUUUUACCUACGCUUAGGAUGUUGACUGAUAUGUAGUCGUA
rnacentral:rRNA from 1 species